AGGGCACCACCAGGAGUGGAGCCUGCGGCUUAAUUUGACUCAACACGGGAAAACUCACCCGGCCCGGACACCGUAAGGAUUGACAGACUGAGAGCUCUUUCUUAAUUCGGUGGGUGGUGGUGCAUGGCCGUUCUUAGUUGGUGGAGCGAUUUGUCUGGUUAAUUCCGAUAACGAACGAGACUCUGGCCUAUUAAAUAGACGGUAUAUCUAGAAAAAGUAUACCGCGCUUCUUAGAGGGACAACCGGCGUCUAGCCGCGUGAAAUAGAGCAAUAACAGGUCUGUGAUGCCCUUAGAUGUCCGGGGCUGCACGCGCGCUACACUGAAAGAAUCAGUAUGCGCCGUCGCCUAGUUCGGAAGAACCGGGUAACCCGAGCAAAUUCUUUCGUGCUUGGGAUAGGGAAUUGCAAUUAUUUCCCUUAAACGAGGAAUUCCCAGUAAACGCGGGUCAUAAGCUCGCGUUGAUUACGUCCCUGCCCUUUGUACACACCGCCCGUCGCUACUACCGAUUGGAUGACUUA
rnacentral:rRNA from 1 species